rnacentral:rRNA from 1 species
ACGUAGGGUGCGAGCGUUAAUCGGAAUUACUGGGCGUAAAGCGUGCGCAGGCGGUUUUGUAAGCCAGAUGUGAAAUCCCCGGGCUUAACCUGGGAAUGGCAUUUGGGACUGCAAGGCUGGAGUUUGGCAGAGGAGACUGGAAUUCCCGGUGUAGCAGUGAAAUGCGUAGAUAUCGGGAGGAAUACCGAUGGCGAAGGCAGGUCUCUGGGCAUUAACUGACGCUGAGGAGCGAAAGCAUGGGGAGCGAACAGGA